GUGUGCUGCCCCAUCUUUGCCCCAGGAAAUAUCACCUGUCCAUCAGGAAGAGCCAAACACUCGCCCACACCUGGCCCGGGAGGGAGGCAGGCCGCAGCAGAGAGCAGGCUGGCUGUCGGGAGAAGCCAGCUCAUCUGAGUGCAUUUACUAAGACAUUCGCUCACUUGGUCAACACACAUUUACUUAUUAUAUAAUCCGAGGGGCAGUGUGGCUUAGGGGAGGGCCUGGGGCCAGCCUGGCUGUCUCAUUUCCUGACGGCCACUCACUGGCUGUCAAGCAAGUUGCUUAACCUCCCCAUGCCUCAGUCUCCCCAACUGUGAAAUGGGGGAGAGUAGUGGUGUCUGCUCACAGCUGGUGAGGAAUGAAUGAAUGAAUACCUAUGAGGGUCUGUCAAACAUGGAGUCCUGCUCAAGGUUGGUCGAGGGCAUGGGGCACGUGGCCCACGUCAGACCAAUCAGACCAGUUCUCCAAGGACACAAAGGCUCAAAACGGUGGAUGCUCCCCCCGCCCCCAGGUGUGUCCCGAGAGACUGGGCAUGGUGUCUCCAUCUGGACCCCUGAGGCUGCCUGGCGCACUCUGCUCUUUUCGAAGGCCGUCCACUCUUCGGUGAUCCUGAGCACCCCUUAGUCUUCCAACGCAGUCCUCUUUCCCCACUAAAAUCAGCCAGAGUGGGUUUCUGUUGCUUGCGUCCCAAGAACCCUAACUGAUGGAAGCCCCUGCGGUCGAGACAGGCCAGAGGCGGAUGGCUUUCAUCUGGGGUUUGGCCUCCUCCUCUGGCAACAGAGCCCAGCCCCUGGGGCAGACCCACCAGGGAUGGCUGUGGGGACCCAAGAAGGGCCUUCAUCUAGCCUGUGGGAUCAGAGAAGACUUCCUGGAGGAGAUGACGCCUGGGGCAGGCGGCACUGGAAACAGAGCCUACGGCCCUUGCUGAUGAGCUCAGAGAUGUCACCAGGUGCCACCAACGUUCACGGACAUCGCAGAGACCAACCAAGUGCAGACCUUGGGAGGCCCUGUGGGGUCCUAGAGACAGAGGCGCGGUCCGCGGGGAGGAGUCACAGCCUGAGCAUGGCCAGCGGUCGUGGUCAGAAGCAGCCUGUGGGUCGGUGCACCGAUAGUCCAGGGGCUUUCUCCUGCAAACCCCCUCUCCGGGGCUGCUUUGUUCUGCCUUCCCUCGUGGUCUCUCUGCUUCUCCUGAGUCUUGGCUCUUGUCCCGACAAGUUCAGGCUGGUAGUCUGGAGUCAGAGCCCCGGGCGGGAGGGAGGGGAGCGAGCAGAGAGCAGGAGCAGGGGCUGGGGCUGAGCUGCGAGGAGGGGCUCGGAAUCCGUGGCUAUGGAAGAGUCUAAGCCAGGGGAGUGAGCACGGACUGGGGCUGGUGGCCUCUCUAGUCGCUGCCUCAGUACCUUCUGUCUAAGCUUCCCUUCCCAGCUCUGAAGAGCACUUUGGGCAAACCCCAAGUUUUCUCACCACUUCAGACGCUCGAGUCCAGCUCACUCUCUGCAGUCUCCG
rnacentral:lncRNA from 1 species